rnacentral:rRNA from 1 species
UGAUCCUACGUGACGCAGCAGUAGGGAAUCUUCCACAAUGGACGAAAGUCUGAUGGAGCAACGCCGCGUGAGUGAAGAAGGGCUUCGGCUCGUAAAGCUCUGGUGGUAGUGAAGAAAGAUAGAGGUAGUAACUGGCCUUUAUUUGACGGUAAUUACUUAGAAAGUCACGGCUAACUACGUGCCAGCAGCCGCGGUAAUACGUAGGUGGCAAGCGUUGUCCGGAUUUAUUCGGCGUAAAGCG